rnacentral:rRNA from 1 species
CAGUAGCCGCGGUAAAACGAAGGGGGCUAGCGUUGCUCGGAAUCACUGGGCGUAAAGGGUGCGUAGGCGGGUCUUUAAGUCAGGGGUGAAAUCCUGGAGCUCAACUCCAGAACUGCCUUUGAUACUGAAGAUCUUGAGUUCGGGAGAGGUGAGUGGAACUGCGAGUGAAGAGGUGAAAUUCGCAGAUAUUCGCAAGAACACCAGUGGCGAAGGCGGCUCACUGGCCCGAUACUGUCGCUGAGGCACGAAAGCGUGGGGAGCAAACAGGAUUAGAUACCCGGGUAGUCCCUGUCUCUUAUAA